rnacentral:rRNA from 1 species
AGUGAACGCUGGCGGUAGGCCUAACACAUGCAAGUCGAACGGCAGCACAGUAAUAGCUUGCUCUUACGGGUGGCGAGUGGCGGACGGGUGAGGAAUACAUCGUAAUCUACUUUUUCGUGGGGGAUAACGUAGGUAAACUUACUCUAAUACCGCAUACGCCCUACGGUUGAAAGCAGUGGAUCUUCGGACCUUGCGCGAUUGAAUGAGCCGAUGUCGGAUUAGCUAGUUGGCGGGGUAAAGGCCCACCAAGGCGACGAUCCGUAGCUGGUCUGAGAGGAUGAUAGGCCACACUGGAACUGAAACAGGGUCCAGACUCCUAAGGGAGGCAGCAGUGGGGAAUAUUAGACAAUGGGCGCAAGCAUGAUCCAGCCAGACCGCGUGGGUGAAGAAGGCCUUCGGGUUGUAAAGCCCGUUUGUUGGGAAAGAAAAGCAGCAGGUUAAGACCCAGCUGUUCUGACGGUACCCAAAGAAUAAGCACCGGCUAACUUCGUG